GCCGCUAUGGUGAAAUUGGUAGAC
rnacentral:ncRNA from 103 species